AGACAACAGCGCCCCCUGCUGGAAUCCUGAGGGUGCCUGGACGGGCUUCCUUGAACACUACGUGGAAAUCUAUUGCAAAUACUGCUGGCAUACAUUUUUAUUCUGCUAUUGGGUGACUCUGCUGCACCGUCCUUCUAAAGGCACAGGAAUAUGAUGAGAGUACACAUCAACUACCUGAUGGUCUGUUUCGUUUUGCCUUACACUAAGUGCUGGAGACAGAAUUCAGGGCCUUGUGCAUGGAAGGCAAGUGCCCCACCGCUGACUCGUAGUGGAGUCCUGCAAAUUAUCUUCUACAUGUCCAACAGGAUUCUUACCUUUAUUCCACAUUCUGGCAUCUGGAUUUUAAUUUCCUUUAGAGGUUUUCUUAGGCUGUCUUGUAGGAGAGUAAAUACUUAUACAAAGCUUACCUUGUACUAAGACACUGCUACAAGGAUUUAUAUAUUUAUUUGUCUCACAACAAACCUUUUCAUGACGAGUACCAUUAUAAAUGCAUUAUAUAGAUCACAAAAAUAAGGUACAAGAGGGGUCAAGAAAUGUGCUCGAAGUUCCACAGCUGGAAUAUGGUAGAAACUGAGGAUUCAAACUCCACAAUUAGCUACCACACGACAUUGCUUUACCAGGUACCAGGACAUGAUCAGUGAAUUCUUCCAGCUUUCUUCUCUCAAGAUGCUCAGAAAACACCUGCUUCUUUCUUCUCCCUCUCCCACGCUAUCUGGCACCGAAACUUCAAAUCUGAUUGAGUUGGAGUGUGGGGAGUGUAAGAAGCCAGCACUGCAUCUGUUCUGUGGAUGGAAACAUCUGGAAGGAGCUGUGUACAAGAAUGUGUAGGUUGCUUUAAGCUCGGCAUUUUCUCAUCCCUUUAUUUUCCUGAACAAGUGAACUAAAUGAAAUUACAAUUUUAUUUAAGUGUCAGAAAAUUGUCAAGAAGUGACUCAAAGAACACACUUUUUUUCCAGACCAAACCAUUAGACUAUUUUCUUCCUUCAGUGAUUUAUUAAUUAAAAACAAAUAGCUGUACUGGACAUAGUAGAACAGGCCUGUAACCUCUGAAUUCAGAAGACUGAGGCAAGAGGUCAGUCUGGGUUAAUAGUGAGAUCUAUCACAAAACAAAAAUAAAACCAACAUAUUUUUUAAAAUCAGCUCCAUUUUGAGGUGUUUGUGUAUGUAUAUAUCAAAUACUACAGAAAAACGUUUUGCUGACCUUUCUAUAUUAGUCCCUUGCUUUUCUACAAAUUCAAGCCAAAAAGUCAAUGAAAAAUAGAUGUACUUUGCAGGAUCUAACAAAAUAGCAGCACAACUCAAAUGCAUGCAGAAUUCAUUAUAUAGAUGUUGACACUAAAUUUCCUUGCAAAAUUAGGCUUUUAUAACACUGAAUAAAAUAAAGAGAUAACACAUAUAAACAAGAGCAUAAACAUCUUCUAUUGAAAAUCUGCGAUGAUUAAAAAAUGUUGCUUAGUUUUCAUCUUCUGCAAACAUAUUUUAUUGCUGUAUAAUACUGCCCUCUUGUGUUUUCUCUAGUGAAAUCUUUGUCACUUAUUGAUUUAUAUUGUUUCUAAUUUUUCUAUCUAAAAUAAUUUUCUACUAAAUGAACUUCAAAGCCAAAUACGAAAACAUUCACAGAUCAGAAACUAAUGUUAAUAGUGUUAUGGUUUGUAUUCCUUUAAACUUCUAACCUCACUUAUAAAAUACUGUAGCCUAAUAUUAAGGCCAAGCAAAAUAAGUAGAAAUAGAUACAUAACUAAAAAAUAAUGUCCAGUAAUUUCAAGACCCUGAAAUUCCUGCGUUACUAAGUAAUGGAAGAUGCAGCCAACUCAUCUAUUAGGGAAGGCCUGCCCUCUUCCUAAGUAAUAGUUACUGUGGGUAUAUAAAAACAUUAGUACUCUGCAUUAUUUUGAAAUUUUUCUUUAUGUAUUAAAUGAGCCAAACUUUUUAAUGUUGCCUAAUU